GUUGCCAUCAUUAAGUUGGGCACUCUAAGUUGACUGCCGGUGACAAACCGGAGGAAGGUGGGGAUGACGUCAAAUCAUCAUGCCCCUUAUGAUUUGGGCUACACACGUGCUACAAUGGACAAUACAAAGGGCAGCGAAACCGCGAGGUCAAGCAAAUCCCAUAAAGUUGUUCUCAGUUCGGAUUGUAGUCUGCAACUCGACUACAUGAAGCUGGAAUCGCUAGUAAUCGUAGAUCAGCAUGCUACGGUGAAUACGUUCCCGGGUCUUGUACACACCGCCCGUCACACCACGAGAGUUUGUAACACCCGAAGCCGGUGGAGUAACCUUUUAGGAGCUAGCCGUCGAAGGUGGGACAAAUGAUUGGGGUGAAGUCGUAACAAGGUAGCCGUAUCGGAAGGUGCGGCUGGAUCACCUCCUUUCUAAGGA
rnacentral:rRNA from 1 species